ensembl:lncRNA
GAGCCAGAGCUCAUUAGGUGGACUUGGGGCAAGAGUGGAAGGGCUUGGGCGAAGGCCCCGGGGCAGAGGGAGUGACACGUGCACGGUCACGGCCUGUGAGAGACCUGAGCCCACGCCCAAGGCCCUGGCAGAGGCAGGGAAGCGGAGGAAGGUCAGCACUUCCGAGACGUGCCGCAGCAGCUGGCGGGGGACGUGGGGGAGCAGGGUCAGGCCUCCGCGGGUCAGUCACGGGGUCACAGUUUCAGAAGAGCGGGCAUCUUGGACCAUCCCAAGUCCUCGUGGUGCAGACAGGGAAGUGGAGACACAGCUGGGCAAGGACACGGCCAAGGUCAAAGCAAGGCGGGCAGAGCCGGGAAAGAACACCUGCCCAGGGCUCUGUCUGCAUCUGGAGGGCGGCCCGAGAAGCGGGAGAAAACCAAACAUCAAUUUCACACCUACUAUGUGACCCACGGUCCUGAGCACACGCACGCACGCACGCACACACACACACACACACGCACACGCUUCACCACUGGGUCCCUGGGCCUCAGGCUAGACUUGUGGCCCUGGGCACUCCUUCCGAAAAUGAGGAGAAGGAUCCUAGGGAGGUCUUUCGAUCCAGCCCACUGCCACUGGCCUCAAGGCCUCAUCUCAUUGUCUCCUUUGAAAUCCUCUAUGGUGAACAGAAAUUAUAAUCCCCAUUUUGUAGAUGAGCACACCAAGGGAAGGAGAAACUGACCCAAAACCCCACAGUAAUCAUCAGCCAAAGCUGUCUCGACUCCUACUUUAGUGCUCUGUCCGAGAUCCUGCGUUGCCCAGAUCUGAACCGUCUGGCAGGGAGGAAGUCCCUCCUGCAGUCUAACUGAAAUCUCUCGUACUUUACUAUGUCAACUGCCCGUUGUUUGUGGCUGAAGAUGCGAAAAAGCACUGUGAUCCUUCUGGGCCUUGACUGUCAUCUUGGAGGGGACUGAGCAGGGGGUAGGAGACUCAGGGACACCCCCCUUGCCCUCCAGAAUCUGAAUCCAGUUGCAGGUUUGCUUGAGGGGGUGGGAGAGAGAGCCAGGCCAUUUGCCACUGGGGCCUUUCUUCGAAGGGAAGGCUCUGGGACAGCUCUGGGAAGAAUUCCCUGGGGAAGAAGUGCUUCUGGAUCACCCUGAGGACACACACGCUCCCCCAGGACACAGCUGCCCAGGGGCCAAGCUCCCGGCCAGCGCCAGGCGGAACCCAAGGCCUUGGAUCCACCCCUGUGGCCGGAGGCGGCCUUGAGUUCCCUCCGCACACAGGCCCGUUCGACUCGCUUGUCAGAAGCCACUCAACAAAAUCCAAUUUAUGGAGCCAAUGUGAAAUGGGGAAAAUUCCUCUAAACCAAAAAUGCCUUCUUUCAAACCAGAAAGGAGGGGGGCCCGACAGCUGGGCACGCAGACGAGCAGGCCCCGGGCCGAGACGCAGCCUCGAACGCCAUGGAGGGCAGCCCAGUCUGGACCAUUACUCGGCCUCUUUCUCCAGAGAGACCCACAGUUCCCGGAGAUGUCAGGGCUCGGGGCGCCCCGCAUUUCCUGAGAAAGCUGAGGUCUUCGAGAUGCUGGUGGCGACUUACUGAGGGCCUACUGUGUGCUGGGCACUGUGCUAAGUGCUUCCAUGUGGACCCUCCCAGCAACCCCACGAGUCAGCUCGUCCCUGACCUCCGUGAGGGCUGGGGGGGUCCAUCCUGUUUACGGCUGUGUUCCCGACACCAGGCACAGCAUCCGACACACAGAGGACACUCGAACCAAAGUCCCAGUGAAUGGCAG